rnacentral:rRNA from 1 species
UGUGAAUUGCAGAAUUCAGUGAAUCAUCGAAUCUUUGAACGCACCUUGCGCCCUUUGGUAUUCCGAGGGGCAUGCCUGUUUGAGUGUCAUUAAAUACCAUCAACCCUCUUUUGACUUCGGUCUCGAGAGUGGCUUGGAAGUGGAGGUCUGCUGGAGCCUAACGGAGCCAGCUCCUCUUAAAUGUAUUAGCGGAUUUCCCUUGCGGGAUCGCGUCUCCGAUGUGAUAAUUUCUACGUCGUUGACCAUCUCGGGGCUGACCUAGUCAGUUUAAUAGGAGUCUGCUUCUAACCGUCUCUUGACUGAGACUAGCGACUUGUGCGCUAACUUUUGACUUGACCUCAAAUCAGGUAGGACUACCCGCUGAACUUAAGCAUAUCAAUAAGCGGAG